rnacentral:tRNA from 1 species
GGGCUUUAGCUCAAUUGGUAGAGCGCUAGUUUUGCAUACUAUUUGUUAAGAGUUCAAGUCUCUUAAGUUCC